GUUUGAGAAUUGUAAUAUUUCUGUAUUUUUUCAAAAUAAAAUCAUUUCACACUGCGUAAGCAUAUGUUACAAAUGUAUACUGUAUAAACAGUGCCGUGGGAAAUAAGAUGAGCCUUUGUAUGUAAGCCGAGAAGUAAACAUGGUAAGACAUUUCUUUUCUUUAAUUUUUUUCUUAAACAUUUUUAUGAAGAUAGUAGUUUCACUUUCAAAUGGCAAUCCACAUGCGUAUUGGUAAUACAAAAAUCAUUAAUUGUCAUUUUCUCUAAUGUAAUUGAUUUAAACAUUACAUCAAUUAAUGUUAUUCUGAUGUUUUCAGUUUUUGAACCAAUAGCCUAAAACAUCAGAAAUUGUUUGCUCAUAAAACGUAUUAGCUUUUGAAAAGACUUAAAAUUGCGUUGUACCUCAAACUGCCUCAUUUUGUCUAAAAUGAAAUAAUUUAAAAUAAAACACAAUAAUUGUAUUUUCUAGAUUAUGUAUCAUUAAUUUUAUUUUUAAAAUUGCUUUAUUUUUGUUUUUUUAUUUCGAAUAUAAAAAUUAUUGAGCAUUUUUUUUUUAAAUCAUUUAAAUAAAUUACUUUAAUAGAAAAUGUAAUUAUUAUGAAAUGUUGGUAUUUGCGUUUUCUUGUUACAUUUUAAAUACAAUAUGAAUAUAUCAUUUGUGGAUCAUUGUCUGCGCUGUCUGUGUUAUUGAAUUCAUGACUAAAAUAUCGUCAUCAUAAUAAAAUAAUUGAUAACAUAAUUAAUUUUUAACGUAAUAAAUCUGAGAUUCAGCUUAUUUGGCUUUAUAAAUAUUUUGAUAUGAGCGUCACUGAUGAGUCUUAUGUAGACGAAACGCGCGUCUGGCGUACUAAAUUAUAAUCCUGGUACCUUUGAUAACUAUUAUUCGAUUGCUUUAUUUAUUUCAAGAAUCUGUACAACUUUUUUUUUAUUAUAUUGAUAAAUUUUGCUUUGUCAGUAAUAUUCUAGACGAAAAACACUUGCCUUGUAAGGUAUUUUUUUUCUUCAAAUAAUCAAAAUACAAUCAUUUUGAUUGUUUAUUUUUCAAUUGCAUGUGUUUAAUGUGUUUAAGACAUUGGUUAUUAUAUUUUCAAUUUCUAAAUUACGUAUAUUUUGAAACGAUUAUUUGUUUUAUCAUUUCUUGAGUAAAGUAUUUUUCGAUCGAAUUUAAUUGUAAAAUAUUGACUAAUUAUAUGGAAACUGAAAAUAAAAUAGUUGAAAACUAAAGAAUAUAAGAAUAAAAAUAUUAUUAUUCCAAUCAAGGGCCCUUGAUGGGUACCAUGACAUAUAUACAUACAAAACAAUAGAUUGUAAUUUGUAAUAGAAAAACAUUGAAAAGAAGUAUUAAAAGUUCAUAUACCUGCUACCAUGAUAGAAUUACAUAUAUUUCUUCGUUAUAUUUACAAAAAGUAAAAUAACAAAAGAAAUGAAUUGAUUUUACCUUAACAGUAUACCUUCUGACCACCCUGAUUGAAAUUACCUAAAAAUCAUUUAUCAAAACAUCCACAAAUAUCUCCUGUUUCGUAACUUGAAAAAUCAUUCAUUUUCUGAUAGAAAUUCACAGCGUGUCGUCGAUUUGAUAACUGUCCGGUGGAAAAAAAAACAUGUAAUAGACUUAAGCACAUAUCUCCUCCGGGCGUCAAGGAAACGAAAACAAAAUAAUCACAACAUCAAAAGGAAAAAACUGUUGCAGCAGAAAAUGUCCGGAUUGUACGGGUUUCGUCGUCUACGUGAGCGAAAUAAAAGCAAAAGGAGUUUUGAGUGUGCAAUUGUUUAAAUCCGGAACAUAAAGUCAUAAAUAUAUCAAACUUAGUCCCCAAUCGCCACGGCAAACGCAUUAAACAGUAGAUAUCCAUUAAGCAUUGUUCUUUUAUGGCCCAUAAAACUCUCUCGGUCUCCUUUCAUCUAAAACACUGAGUAAAUGAAAACAAAAACUGAACGCAUAUUUCAACUUUUUACUUUAUUUUAAAAUAUUCUAGCUGCAAGAGCUUAGGCAGUAAAUUUUAAAUUAUUGUUUUUUCGAGAGGCAAGUUAUUCGCAUCGAACAACAGAAAUACCGAUAGGAAAUUCUCACAACCGGUGAAAAAUGUAUUUUGGUUGAUGAUAGAUUUUUACAAUAUUUUGUUUAUAAAUACAAAACAGAAUUCUUGAUUAAUAAAAAAAAACAUGAACAAAUUUCAUCGUUUGAUAAUAAUAAAAAAUUGAAAGUAUUAUUUCUGUAACAAUAUUUACUUUCGAAAAACUGUGCACAGUAGCUAAAAGUUAAUACAAACUAUUUUUUAUAGAAGCAAUACAUAAGUUUUUGCUGUAUUAUAACCAAAAUAAUUGUAAAAUUUAGCAACUAAUACACAUUUUCCUUCACCAGUUAUACAAAUAUUUUUCGUUUCAGGAUUUUUUUCCCUAAAAAUGUAUACACACAAUCUUUCAAUUACAAAAAUGAGAGGAUAUGAAAAUUUGCUUUAUCAAAUAGUAUCGCAAUAAUUUAUAUAUAUAUAUAUAUAUAUAUAUAUAUAUAUCCCAUGACACGGCUUAUCAACAUUUAUGUCGCUACACUGAAAUUUUUCUACAUGUAUUUAAGAAAAUUCUAAUAACAUUGUAGUGUUGUUGUCAAAUUUGUGUGUCGAAUGUUUAUAGAUAAAUCAAUACACAGUAAUUUUUGCUAAUUUAUAUUUAGUAAAUGUUAUAUUUCUGCUAGAUAUUCAAAUUUUCAAACCCUAACCCUUCUUACUCUUUCAGAAAUGAAAGUAAAACUAUUCCCUCCGUGUUAAAAUUGUCUACUUACAUCAACGAACAUUUAAUUUUUACAUCUCACAUAUUCCUGGUAUAAACCAAAGUUGUUUUACCGAAACAACCUUUCUCCAGAUAAGCAAAGAAAAUAAUGAGCAAAUUUGAUAAAAUGAUCCUUUAUUAGUAUUAUGGACGCUAAUAAAUUAACAAUUUUGGCGUUUUAUUGCCAAUUUAGUGCAGUAUAAUGUCAGAUAAUUCUCCAACAAAUGCCCAACAUAAAUAAUCUUUUGACAUUUUAUAUGAUCAUUUUACCUGCUUAAUUAUCAACUGGACACAUUUAAGUUCAGGGCUAUUAAGUUUAGAACACAAAUAAAACAUUAACAUUAUUUAAAUUAAUUGAAACAAAUAAAUUGAAAAAGGGUCGCAUGAAGACGUAAAGACAGAUAAAUUAUCUAUAAAUGGAUGAUAAAAAUGCUUGAACUUGAAUUCGUCAACGUUUAAUAAUAGUAUAUAAACAAUACUGUUUGUAGAUAUCUUUCAAAGAAAAAAAAGAAAUAGUAUCUACGUUUUAUGAUAAUAGAUUUCAUCUAUUUGGAAAUUGAUAUGUAAUAGAUCGUAUUAUAUUGAGGUAUUUGAGGUUUAAAACAUAGAUAAUAACAAUUUAUGAAUUCUACUUUAAUGUCAGUAAGUAAAUAAAGCAACACAAUUUUAUCGUUGAUAUUUUGAGACAAAUAAUGAUAAGUAACAGUUCCAAAAUUAUACGAGUUAUUUCCCUUUGAACAUUAAGACGAUCGAACAGAUGACUGCUUAAACCGCUUAGCGAUACUCGUUAACAUUAAUCAAAAAAGGUUACACAUCUAAAUAGAUAAGAUGAAUAUGAUGUAGUGCAAUGUGAAAAUUUACUUAUUUCAUUCCAUAUUAAUCAAUACUAUUUAUGUUAAAUUCAUUUUCAUAUUUCUGUUAAAAGUUCAGCUUGCAUUUGUCAGAAAGUAGACGUAUUGUUGCCAAUGCCAAGGGGUACAAUCAAAAUCACGUGAUGGAUAUACACACACCGGAAGUAACAGUCGAGCAGACCGCUUGAAAGGUAAGUAGUCGUAUUUACUUGUUUAUAUCAAUAAAAUUUAAUAAAUAAGGUAGUGCACCGAAUGUAGGAUACUAUCUAAUUUUGAAAUACACAAUUAUCCUUGCUGGAAAGCGUGCAGUUAAUGCGAACACUUCCACACAGUUCCAAAAUUUCACCGUCGAAGUGUUUGCAAUAACUGCACGCUUUCUGGCAAAAACAAUUGUGUAUUUUAAAACUACAUACUAUCCGACAUUCGGUGUGCCAACUUAUUAAUCAAAAUUUAAUUGAUAUAAACAAGAAAAUGCAACUUCUAACCUUUCAGGCGGCGAGUUCGACUGUAACUUCCGGUGUGUGUAUAUCCAUCACGUGAUUUUGAUUGUACCCCUUGAAUGCAUUGUCUUCAUCAGAAUGCAAAUAAAAAUGUAGAAUUAAAAAAAUAUAAAUGUUAGUUGUAAAUAUUGACACAUUUCUUUUUAAUUGACAGGUAUAUAUGUCUGAAUAAUUUCAAUCUAUGACUUUUAAAAGGUUUGGACUCCGAAUCUCAAUACGUGGCGUCAUACCUAGAAUGAUCUUUUGACAGUCAACUCGUAGACUUCUUCCUCAGGUGGGGCUUAAGUCACGAAAUACUUUAAUAUACUUAUUGUAAUCAAAAGCCAAACCCUAAAUGUUUUAAGUACCAAAAUUGUCCCCUUUGCUGUAACGUAUCCUCAAAACCGACAAUCCCUUUGGAAUUCAUUCAUGAUCAAUUGUCACACGCUUGAUGAAGUACCAAAGAUGUUUUCCUUUUACUUCAAUAUGAUAUGGAAUUUCAUAUGAGCGAGCAGGAACUUAUAUAUUGCCUGUAUGUAUAAUGUUCCCAGCAGUAAUAGAUAACUUUUUCAUACUGUUUAAGAAUAUAGUAUGCUAAGUAAUAUUAUUGCUUAAAGUUUUUUGGUGACCAUGGAUUUUUCUUUUUAUACACAUACCCGGAUGAGAUAUUAUCAGUAAGUUGAAAUCACCUAUACAAUGUCAUUAAUUAUGGUCGUUUGGGAAAUAAAAAAAAUGAAAUAAAAAUAACUUUUUGCAUGCAAAAGCGUGAACUCUGAAUGCAACCAGUCCAAUUUUGUUGUAACCGUUUAGUUUCUUAAGUUUAUUAAUUUAACAUUACUCUUUUCUGCGUACAAACAUUAGUUGAAAAGUACAUCAAUUGAACCAAUCAAAGUAGAACAUGUUUAUCUUUAUCACAUGUUAAAUUACUGUACUUAGUACACACACUUUUAAAUAUGUUCUGUCUUUCCCAUCAGUCCUUUGAUAUUAUGUGGACUGUUCACUUCUUUCCAAUUAAACCUUUGAUAAUCUUUGACUUCUCCGUUUCGUUCCCAUCAGCCCUUUUGGUUUCAAUUCUAAAGAAACAGAUCCGAUUAUACAAAACAACUGGUUACUCCUUUAGUUGAAACAAUUUUACAUAUGAAGUUUCUUCAAGUUCCCGUCAUUCGUUUGAUGUUUUCACUCUUCUUUUCUUUCCGAUCAGUUUUUUUAUAAUCUUUGGUUUACUCGGAUCUUUCCUAUCAGUCCUUUGAUAUUCUUUGGACUCCUUUUUCUACAGAAACAGAUCCAAGUAUGUAAAAUAAUUCAUAAAUCUGUACAACUGGUAACUAUUCUUAGUUCAAACAAUUUUACAUAUAUCAUUUCUUUCCUGUCAUUCAGUUGAUUAUUUUACUCUUCUGUUCUUUCCGAACAGUUCUUUGAUAUUCUUUGAUAUUCUUUGGACUCUUUCUUUUCUUUCACAAGAAUCCUUUGAUAUUUUUUUUUGAUUUUUCGUUUUCUUUAGAAACAGAUACAAUUAUAAAACACAAUUUUCAAUUCUGAAGAACUGGUUACUGUACUUAGUUCAAACAAUUGUACAUAUUAUUUCUUUCUUUCGCAUCAUUCAUUUGAUUUUUUAGCCUCUUGUUUUCUUUCAGAUUAGUUUUUUUUUUUAGAUUCUUUGGAUUCUUCUGUUCUUUUCCAUCAGCCCUUUGAUACUCAUUGGACUUUUCGGACCUCUCCUAUCAGCCCUUUGAUAUUCUUUUGACUUUUCGUUUUCCACAGAAACAGAUACAAUUAAAUAAAACAAUUUUCAAUUCGGGAACAACUUGUUACUGUAUUUAGUUCAAACAAUUUUACAUAUGUCCUUUCUUUCCCAUCAUUCAUUUGAUUUUUUACUCUUCUUUUCUUAUUAUCAGUUUUUUUUAUUCUUUCUCAUCUGACCUUUGAUAAUCUUUCUCUUUUUCGUUUCUUUCUCUUCAGCCCUCUGAUAUUCUUUGGGAUCUUCGGUUCUUUCCCAUCAGCCCUUUGAUAUUCUUUGGACUUCUUUUUUUCUACAGAAACAGAUGCAGUUAUAUGAAGCAAUUUUCAAUUCUGAACAACUGGUAAGUUCGUAGAGUUCACAAAUCAGGCCAUCUGAUUAGAUAAAUUAAAACAGCAUCUGUCAAUUAUGAUGGAAAUACUUCAAUCCAUCUACUCUUAUGAUCAAGAGUUUCGCAUUUUGAAGUUGGUACUUGUCUCUGAUCUGCAUUCCAAAUAUAAAACCAUCUAUGAUUGCAUAAUUGCUUACAUACUGCUGCAUGUCGUAGAUCAAUUAAAAACGUCAAACUUUAACAUCGUGGCGGAAUAUGAUAUCUUUAUGACGUUCCAAACACUAAAUUCGCUGCAGGUUUAGAAAAAAACGUUUGCCAAAACAUUUAAGUGACCUUGCAAUCAAUUAUUUUGGUAGGAAAAGCGCUUACAUAAAUUUUAUUGUUCUUUCAACACUUAAUAUGAUACCAAAAGUAACAAUAUAUCAAGAAAAUUGUUCUUUUUAUUGAGUGUUAAUUGUUGUUUAUGGUAAAAAUCAUCAUAAAAUUGAAUUUAAUGAUAACUACCGUUUAAGAACUGUGAGAAGAUUUACGAGUCUACUAGAGUUUUAAUGUUGUAAUAAUCUAUUCAAUAUAUAAAUAAACACUUCAAUUAAGUAUAGAUGUUAGUGUUUGUUUACAUCUUUAAUUUUAACCUGAAAGUUUGAAUGAUUGCAAGAAUGAAUUAAAUAUACUAUAAAAACUUUUAAUAACAGUAAUAAUGAUACCAAAAUAAUAAUAAUAAUAAUAAUAAUAAUAAUAUAAUUAAUAAUAAAUAAUAAUAAUAAUAAUAAUAAUAUACCAACGGGGGAUGAUCAAUGGCAAUAUCGGCGCGAGCUUUAAAGACAUAUAUAGAAUUUAGCAAUGACAAAGCACAAGGUAUAUUCAAAGCCAAACUUUUGGAAAGCAAAAUAUACAAAACAUUUCAAAACAACACAAACAAAAGACACAAAAAGUUACGUGAAACAUUAGUAGUAGCACUUAUACUAAUAAUUUACAAGAAUAAAGUACUAUUUUAAUUACUUACCCUAUCGGAGCACCUGCUAUCAUUCCGGUGUUGGUCAGACUUUUAUUAUAUGUGUUGUGUUUUGUAUACUGUUGUCUAUCGUUGUUCUUUUUUCUUUUUAACCAUGUUGUUGUCAGAGUUAGGAAUAUGGCAGUUGUUUUCAUUUGUUCUUUUGAUUGAAAGCGUUUGUGUUGCCUCCCUUUUUUAUUUGCCUGGGAGUUCAGUUUUUUGUUACAGUGUUUUUACAAUUAAAUGUAUAAGCACUAGCUAUACUAGUAAAUCAACCAUUAUGUAUUUUGUUCUAUAAUAAAGCAGACAAAGUAUUUGAUAUUAGGUGGACAUGACACACACAUGUUUAAAAUGACAGACGUUCAAAUAGGGAGAAAUCGGGCAUGCAAUUCGUUGUUUUUCCUAUUUUAUGUGUUUACAAUUACUCAGGCAUCAAGCAAAUAUUAAUCCGUAUAUUUAACUAUUACAUUACGUUUUAGGUACAAAUAGCGACAUCUUGUGUUACUGUAAACGUAUACUUAAAUAAAAUGAUUUUUCGACUUUUAAUCAAUUUCAAUUAACUAAUAAACAAUGAUCAAUACGAUACUGAAAGUACAAAAAAUGUAAUACGAAUACUCUCUAUAGUUACUUCUUUGAUACUUCAAAGUAGCAACCGUCCUACCUAACUAACAUUUUGAAUCGGAUACUAUUUGACGAUCGCAAUGACUCAGUCAUUUAAAAACCAUUCGUAAACAUGGGCUUUUACUUAGGCAAAUCAAUUUCACAUCAGUUUCACUGAUUUCAAAGCUUAUCUAAUUUCUUAUUCAAUUACACAGCAUCAAGUCCAAAAGAAUAAAUAUUUUAGAAGCGUGGCGCUAUGAUCAUAAACGUAAUAUUUAAGCAUAAAAUUGACCGGCGCCGGCUUCAAAGUUGACAAACAGCGAAUUAUGAAUAAAGUUAUCAAAUACCCAUUUUUGGACAGGAUUUCAUUUAAGGGCGUAACAAUGCUUAUAUCUACACAAACAUGGCCUACUGUGGAUCAAAUCAAUCAUUCCUAAAUGAUCUUUGCAAUACUGAACAUAUUAAAACGUCAUAAAUUGUCUUAUUUUUUCUUUGCGUUUGUUUUCUCUUCUAUCAGAUUAUAACCUCAGAAUAAAUUUCGUUUGAUUUGUAACAUGUAAUCAUGAUGUUGUCUACUGCAAUACCUUUAAAAAUUAGUAUCCAAACUUUAUUCUUUGCAGAAAAUCUACUAUUUAAGGCAUUAAAAGGUGGGAGGAAUUGAAUUUACUUUAUCCUUUGAACACAUUUCGAAUUGAAGUUUAAACAUAUUUAUUUAUAGUGGAUUGGGAAACAAGUUUUGCAACUUAUAUUAAUCCCUUUCCACUUUGCGGGUGCAUUAGCCUACUCUUUUUCGAAAUCUACAAGGGUGUCUUUAACGUGCAAGAGAUAUGGCUCUCUCUUAACACGGGUCAGCCAUUUAUGGCCCCCUUCCGACGGACUAUCAUCGUUUCCUCAAGACCAUACUCGCAAAUUGAAAGACAAUUCUUAUCUAUAUUUUUGUUUUUUAACAGAUAAAUACAACCAGUUCCACACUAAAGACAAUCAUCAUUACAUUAACGCUUGUUCUUAAUUGUAUUCUAAACAAAUUCAUAUUCUGUUAUUAAAUUUGAUUAUAAAGGACGUUUUGUCGAUGUCCAGAUAUAAAUAUAAUCCAAAUAGUGUUUAUGUAUCAGUAUUUACAAGGAACGCCAUUCGCCCUUUUAGCAAUCUUGGAAUUGUCAGUUUUCCUGUCGAAUGUUAUCUUCGGCUUCCUCUAUCAAUACAAUAAAUGAAAGCCACGAUAAUGCCAAUAUUAUUGAAAGUGCAUUAAACACAUAACAAUCAAUCAAUCAAACUCUGUUAACAUUGCCGAUUUUAUGAUUUAGUAGUAUAUAUUUGCAAUACCGAAUACCGAAAUUUGUCACUUAGCCCAUAUAUUUUGGCUGAUUACAUUGUCAUCGUCAAAAACAACAGAGACGGGGUGUGCUAUACAGCCCUAAAACUUGUAACUGAAAAACAAAUUUAAAAAAAUCACUUAACCCAGGCUAGUUUUAAAAUGAAUUUAAACACAUUUAAAUAUUUCAUUUCAGGACUUGAGGAUAAGCAAUGAACACGAUAUUGGAUAAUACGACAUAAUCUACACGAAAAUGGCAACAGAGUAAAAUGUAUCCCGCUAUGAGCACUUUUGGAAGCACAGAACUUCAACAAAAUCUGUUUGAUAAAUAUAUUUCCUGCAAUCACUUCACCCACAGAAAUAUAUCAGAAAGUUACAGAGACUAUCAAUUUCACUCCACUAUAAACAAUGAUAUGAGACCGGGCAAUAAUUCAUAUGUCCGUAGGUUGAACAGUGGAUAUAAAUAUCGUGGACAGACAAUCAAAAAUCCGUCUGACAAUGGUACUAAUGAAUCAAGGGUUUAUGAUCCAGACAUAAAUCAAAGAUGUAGUAACUAUAACCAGGAGUUGGACAGAACUUUAUAUCAUAACAUGGGGCAAAAAUACGCUGUUCGUGGGAUAGAAGACUCAACUGUUCAAAGUACCCUCGUAAAGACUGAUAACAUACGAGUAGAUCCAAAUAGCGACGAGAGCGACGACGGAGAUGCGAUGACACGUCGUAUGUACCCUUGGAUGAAAUCAAACGGUGG
rnacentral:lncRNA from 1 species